rnacentral:pre_miRNA from 1 species
CAAAUACUCCCUCCGUCCAAAAAUACUUGUCAUCAAAAUGGAUAAAAGGAAAUGUAUCUAGAUGUAUUUUAGUUUUAGAUACAUCUCUUUUUAUCCAUUUUGAUGACAAGUAUUUUCGGACGGAGGGAGUAGAAA